CCUACGGGAGGCAGCAGUGAGGAAUAUUGCGCAAUGGGCGAAAGCCUGACGCAGCGACGCCGCGUGGGUGAUGAAGGCCUUCGGGUCGUAAAACCCUGUCGGGUGGAACGAAUUCCGCUUCGCUAAUACCGAGGCGGCUUGACGGUACCACCGAAGGAAGCCCCGGCUAACUACGUGCCAGCAGCCGCGGUAAUACGUAGGGGGCGAGCGUUGUUCGGAUUUACUGGGCGUAAAGAGCGCGUAGGCGGUUCGAUGAGUCGGAGGUGAAAUCCCUCGGCUUAACCGAGGACCCGCGUCCGAUACUGUCGAACUUGAGUGCAGGAGAGGAGAGCGGAAUUCCCAGUGUAGCGGUGAAAUGCGUAGAUAUUGGGAGGAACACCGGUGGCGAAGGCGGCUCUCUGGACUGUCACUGACGCUGAGGCGCGAAAGCUAGGGGAGCAAACGGGAUUAGAUACCCCGGUAGUCCUAGCCGUAAACGAUGGGCACUAGGUGUGGGAGGUAUCGACCCCUUCCGUGCCGCAGCUAACGCAUUAAGUGCCCCGCCUGGGGAGUACGGCCGCAAGGUUGAAACUCAAAGGAAUUGACGG
rnacentral:rRNA from 1 species